rnacentral:lncRNA from 10 species
AGCUUCCGCAGAGAUCCUGCAGAUGUGAUUCGAGUCUUCCAGCAACACCACCUCACUCUGCUUUGCACAAUCACUCCACCUCCCCACAUGUUGCGGAGAUUCUCCUGGGGAUUCACACUCUUCCUACUUGCAGCUGUGACACGGGAAACAUCCUCCACCAGGUCUUCUCUCACAGUGUGGCCUCUGCGCACAGGUUAUCCACCUGUAGACCUGGACGGGACCCUCGAGGCUCCCUACUCUGACCAUCUGGUUUUAUAGUUGAGGAACCAGAAGCCGAGGCAGGGUCUCGACGGUGAAGAAGCAGGCUGUUUCCAUCUUCAGGAUACAAGCCAUCUGCGCAUAGGAAGAGGGUCCAGAGGCUCAUCUGGAAUCCCUCCUCACUCACUGGACGGAGGACCUGACCCCGUUCCCAUCAUUGGUUCUGAAUCCAUCAGCCCAGCAAGACAGGUGUCUCCAGCAAGUUCUGUAAAAUACAACCAUAGCCGGGCCUGGAGUCAGCCCCCAAUAAAGGGUUCACCAUGG